GACACUUCAACUUGCUCUGCUCUCUGCUAGUUGAUUCACUUAUUCUCCCACUAACACUGAGCUCCUUUUCACUGUCUGUGAGAGGUUUUUUUUUAAUUUAGAUUAUAUAUAUAUAUACAUAUAUUAAAGGCAAGAAAUAAGAGAUUUUUUUAAAAGUAAAAUUUAAAAAGCCACCUGAACCAGACCUGCAGCAGAUCCACUGGAAAGAGGGAAUAUUUUGCUUUGCCUGCUUUCUUCCGUAUGAUUUUUUUCUCCUUCUUGCAAGCCUUGCUCAUUCCCCCCAGCCUGUAGGUAAGUUUCGUCUCUCAGUUCAUUUACAUCUCCUUGUGCUUUUUUUGGAGGGGAGUGGGGGUUACUCCGGCCAAGGUUUGUAGAAACAAUGGAAGUAAAUACGAGAUAAGGAAAUACACCGAGAUCCAUAGAUAUGUUUUAUGUUUGGUGUGAAGAUUGGAAGCGGCGGCGGCGCGGGUGCGGGGGGGGGGCAGAGAAGAAGAAAUCCAGGAAAACAGUGUGAAGACUUCUUAAAGGGGCAGCUUGUGUUUCUACGUUUGGCAAUGUGGGGGGUUCGCGAGACAGAGGCAAAACCCGGGAGAUCCUGGGAGAAAGGCGGAUGGACUUGAAUCUUAGUUUGCUGUAUUAAUAUAUUGCUUUAUCUUACGAUCGUGAGGGGGGGGGGGAGGCGUGAAGAAGCCAGACGUUUACCGGGGGUCGCUUUUAUUAAAAAAAAGAACCGAAAAGCGGUGCGCACGUUAGAGCGUGGGUGGGUCGGAACGAGUGCAAAAGAUAGGAGACCUAUGCAAUUAUAUACAUCUAGAUCGGCAAAAGGUGUUUUUUAUGUGCGCGCGUCUCAAGUUUGAAGAGCCCAAACCACGUUCCUAAUUUCGGCCCCCUUGACUGGCAGGGGUUGGAGCCGCGAUCUUGCGCCCUAAAAACAAAGGAAGGUUUCAAAUAAUCCGGAGAGCUUCUGGUUCGGGGUUUUGUUUUGUUGUCCUUUCUCCCUGCCCUCCCUCCUUGCCUCCCUCCUCCCCUCCUGGCCGGCUUUUUAUUUUAUUUUUUUACUUUUGCUAACUGGUUUUGAGAAAAGGCGAUUCCUUUAAGAUCCUCCCCGGCGAGAGCCUAAUCGAUCGAUCCGGAGGAGGGUUUGCAGGGGAAGAUGUAAGAAAGGUGGGUGGGAGGGGGAGGAGGGGGCGCCGAGCUUCUUUUCCGGGCGGUGGGAAGCCGGAGCGAGUGCAAAUUCCUUGUGUCUGGAUUCUGAAAGCCAGUUGGGACUUGGGGCCUCUCUCGCCGGGCAGGAGGGGCGCGCGGGGAGGGUCUCCCCCCACCUCUCCCUCUCUCUGCCUCCCCCGUCUCUCCCUCCCUCUCGCGUUCAUCUGUCCAGGAAGCCAGUGGAGGAAGGUGGCGGGCGCGGGGGGGGGGAAGCGUCUAGCCCCUGCUUUCUUGGUACUGUGAAUCGAGGGUGGGCGCGCGGAGAGGGAACGAGGGGAUCGUUUUCAGGGGAGAGCAGUUUGGGCUAUAGCUGGCUGCAAGGAAGAAAAAAAAAAAGAAAACCCGAAAAUCAACAUGGCAGUUAAAAGGCACUUGAGGAAUGUAAACAUUAAAAAUAGGAGCCAUCUGAGUUGAGCCUUGGAUUCCUGGCCACGAACUUUUUGGGCAGGUCUCCUAGGCCGACUUCCAAAGGAAGAUAAUGGGAGGGGACCUAAAAGUUCCUUGGUCGGGUUUCUUCGCCUGCCCUGAAAACUUUUUUGGAUAUAGGUGUGUGUUGGGCGCACGUGUGAAGGUUCUAAUCUGGUUGCUAACUUUGGUUGUAGGAGGGAGACCUUCUGAGAUGCCUGUUGCCUUCUUCUGUCUUAAUAAUUAUGAGCAUCAUUAAAUAACUGAGGAAUGAGGAGGAGGAGGAGGAGGAAGAGAACAACCGCACACAAUAUUUUCUUUUCUUUGCCUGAUUGUGGUUCUACAGCCUGUGCAGCUGGGAAAUGUGUAAGCCUGCAGUCACAGAGGGAACUGAGACGGUAGCCAGCUUUUAAAGUCUCAGCCCCCUGUCAUCACCACAGUCUGCUUUUCUGCACUGUAUAUACAUGUUGGUCUUUAGUUACUGAUCUGAAAGGGCUUAAUGAUUCUCCAGGGCCAAAGUAAUAGUGUGUAUCUGUGCAUUGACUUCAACAGGCCUAAGAGACACUGGGUGUUCUGACUGCUCCCCCCACCCAGACUGACAUGAGAGUGGAGGAUUUAACUUGGCAGCUUGAACAAAUGCCCUCUCAAAGGUUUCCAGGAGACAGUAAGAGAGCAGGAAUAGGAGUAGAGGGGUGGGGGAAGAGAUGAAUGCCUGGGUAUAGUCUUGGGGUGCUACCUAGCUGUGCUUUCUUUCAAAUAUGAAAUGGCUAUUUAGGCACCGUGAAUACAAGUGUGUGCCUCAGUGAGGCAAUGGGCUUAUCAAAUUUGAAAGGGCAAAAAGCCUGUUCAAAGCUCUGGCGCCCCAAGUUCUAGAUAAGUGGGGCUUCCAGCUGCCAGUUUUUUCUUUUAAGCAUGUUUAGCAACUCAUAGCUCGCCUUUAAACUGCAAUAUGGGACUUGGCCUUUGGAAUUGGAAAGGUUAAUGAUGGAGUCACCUCCACCAAGUUGUAAUGAUUACUUUUUAGAUAUUUGGGGGCGGGGGGGGUAGUUUACAAGGGAGGAUUAUUGGGAUAAUGGAAGCCCAGCCUGGUGCUAGCCUUAAAAGGGCUAGAGUUGGACCAAGGUUCAAGUGGAAGCUCAGCCGUGGACUUGCUGGAUUAGGUUGCUGUCUCUUGGCUUCUGCUGCUUUCUCCUCAAAGCGUUACCUUUUCUCAAAGAGUACUUGUGAGGAUGUAUAUCAUAAAAAGAAAUGUGGCCUGCCUUGGGAAUAAAGCAACAAACAAACCAUCAACAAUGAGGACUAGCGGCUUGACGUAUGGGUGGUUUAAGUUAUAUUACUUCCCCAGUUAGUGUACCCAGGCUUGUAAAUAGCCACUUGCCUAAAUGCCUCUGGUGAGUAAGAAAUGCCUCCAAGCGAUCAGACAGGGAAGCUUUUUAAAGAUUGGCUCUCAUUCUUCUUUGGCCACAAACGUCUAAGGCAGGAAUGUUUUUAGACAGGCUGGUAACUUCAGUGAAUGUUUGCAAGGCUGCUGUGAAGUAUUUGUUACUGCAUCUUUAAAAAAUUUAAAGUUCUACAGGAGAAACUUCUUAUUUAUAUUAUUAAAAAAAUGUGGCUGUGACCAUCCAGGAAAGUUUUGAGAAAGAUCUCCUCCUCGCUCCUUUCCUUUUAAGCUAUAAGUGAUUGACACAGGUCUGUGUGUUUGGCUUAUAAAGAAAAAUGUAGACCUAUUUGCAAAUCUGCUGUAGAUGUUUUCCCCCCUCCCCCAAAUCUACAUAUGCACAUAUCACUGAGGGAAAGGUUUUGUUGAAGGGUCUAGCUAAACCACAUGCUUCUAAGCAUUAUUGUCUCUCCCUUUAGGAGAGAAUUGAGAUUCAUCUUGCAAAGUUGGUUUCUGCCUCCAACUGUCCCUGCUUUUGAUCAAGGCAAAUUUACUACAACAUCAAUCUUCCUUUGGCAGGGCCUGAUUCAGGUUUAUGAAUGCCAGAAGACUAGGGCUGACCUUUUUCUGUUCAGAUUGAGGAUGUUGAAACACCAGCCAUCAAACAAAAGACACAUUGAAAGCAAGGUCUUGCAAUGGAGCACGUGUGACUUUCAGACUGGUUGCAAGCUUUUGGUUGAUCGUUUUCAGAGUAUGGAGGCUAUUGGGGGAGGGGGUGCGGGACACUUUUGAAAAAGCUGUGUAAGGUUUGAGUCUUCUUGAGGGGAGGGAUCUUAAACAAGAAUGGGCUUUCAUGAGUGCAAUAAUUACUACAUUUAGAGAUUGGGCCCAAAACUUUUAAAAACAAUUUCCAGCCACCACAAGUUACUAAGAACUGUUUUCAUUUGCUUAACUGGCAAAUUUGGUGAUUUCAAACCUAGAAAUUAGCUUGGGUUCUUUCAAGUCUUCUUUGUUCAGGUUUUCUUCCCUGUUCCCCCCCACUAGCAAAAAAAAAAUAAAAAUAAAAAUAAAAAAAGGCAGAAAGCAACACCAGAAACACCAAAAUUCUGUGGAAAACAGGGUUUAGUUGCCAGAUCUGGAUAUCUGUCAUAAACAAAGACAGUCUUUUAAAUGAUUUCAACUUGAAGGGAAGAUUUUGCUUUCGUUGUAAAAGGGCAAUUGACUUUAAUGUCUUACUUGAUGAGGAAACUUAGGAGAGAAUCCCAUUGAUUUGCAGUGCUUGUGGUCCCUAACACUUGACAUUUG